CCUUGGAUACCUGUAAUUAGAUCUAAGAGAAUGAUUUAUUAGUACUUACUGUGUAAAUUGUCUUUCCUAUCCCCGUUCAAGGUAGUCACUUGAUUAGUAGUCAAUGACGGGACUAACUAUCCCUCUGUCCACUGUUGCAACAGUGGAUGAGAUGUGAAUCUUCGGAGGAUCAUUAAGUUGACGAUCUACAUUAAGAGAUCGAUACAGGGACUAACCCUCCUUCCACCCUGCUGCUGCUACAGAGGAUGAGGGGACACUCUUCGGAUGUUCCUUAGGGUCUAUCUUUCGCUUCAGCGAUGUCGUGUUUGUCCUGGUAACCCAAGACAAUAACACUUACCUGAUUAUAUUUUCCGGUUUACUUUGUUUUGUGAUACUUUCACAUAAACGAUGAGUUAGACUAAGUGCUCUAGUACUAGUCAAUAGAAAGGAAAAGUUAUCAUAUUACUUUCAGGUCAUACGAGUCUUGGUAGAAGACUACUUAGCCAUAACAGAACAUACGAGUCUUGGUAGAAGACUACUUAGCCAUAACAGAACAUUCGAGUCUUGGUAGAAGAUUACUUAGCCAUAACAGAACAUUAGGGUCUUGGUAGAAGACUAUCAUAUCCUCUUCCUAGUUUACUUUAUUUUGUGAUAUAUUCACAUAAGCGAUGAGUUAGACUAAGUACUCUUAGUACUAGUCAAUAGAAAGGAAAACCUGUCAUUUUACUUGGUCAUAACAAUAUAUCGGGUCUUGGUAGAAGAUCGCAUUUCAUACUUAUAUCAAUUGUUCUAUUAAAGGAUUUUUACGACAUUCUUAACAACAUUACAAAACAGGACAAUAUCACAUAAAUACUUAUGAAUUCACCAGCUUUAAAGCUGAUACUCGCUUUCAAAAUUACUUGUAUCCUCAGGUCAUCAUACACAGGUACCGAUGCAAGGAGAAAGGAAGAUGGAGCUUGUUCAAGACUUAUAUUUCAUUUUGAUUUACGCUUUAGUGUUUAUCAAAAUUUGNUGGAUGAUGUUGUUGCGUGUUUACUACUUUACAUUGUUAUUGAUAUUAUAUAUGACGUCCUCCGCCCCUGAACGUUUCCGCCGUUCGUGGUUUUGGGGUGUGACAGAUUGGUAUCAGAGCAUUGUUUAUAGUGAAUUAAGUAUAUCAACCCAUAAAAGAUAUACUAACUAUAAAUUCAUGGGAUUAAAACACUCUGUCUCAGAGUUAUACUUUUAAAUAAUAAAAUAUUUAAGUAAGUAUACGUGCCUGCAUUCAUACUAAAAUCAGUGUCACAACGACAAGAACAAAAGUAUUACGAUUGUUGAAUAUCACAAGUAAGCCUGGGGAUAUAUGGUCAGUCUUGGGAAUGGCAUAGCCUGAUCAACUAUGCUGGUCUGAGGAGUGAUUGGAAUAUGCCCAAGAAUGGUUGUGAUAUAGCAACAAUUCUAAAAACUUACCGACAUAACCAUAAAGAAAUACCAUAUGGGUAUUUGAUCUUGCUAUACUUAGCUUAGUUAGCUUGUUUAUUUUAGUUAUUCCUUAUAUCCCUUUCUCGCGUAGAUAACAUGGAUGGAUUCCAUCCCCACGACAACCUGUUCCUUCCAAACGAAGUAAUUGCUGGAUCGUUUGGAGAAGAACCAGAUGAUGAUCAUCCAAUCCCUCUGAAUGAUCACCCUGCUAACGACCUUUCAGACGAUGCCAUCUCCGAACCCGAGGUUGAGAACCUACCCCCGGCAGCUCCCUUUCUGAUUCCUAACCCUCGUCCGGCUUUUCAAGGCCCGACGCCUGAGUGGGUGGAAAUGCUUGGAAACUUGGAGCCAAGGACAAGAUCAACCCAUGCCAUUUAAUGGUGACCGAAGCUUCUAUGACCUAAGCAAUGGGGGCUCAACAGAUAGGAUCAUGCCAAUCCUGAUCCGAAGAGUUGCCCGAAACGAAAUUCAGGGCAGGAAAACUCUACAACGUAUUGCAGAAGUUAAUACAAAUGGAGGAAUGUACAUGCUUCGCACCAGUCGCCUCGAGCAUGCUCGUGAGAGGUCGGAGAGAAACCAUGAAACCCUGCUACAAGCACUGGCUGAAUCACGAGCCGAAGUCAUGGGACUUCGGGUACGCCAGAGAGUGUACGGAAGACACCUACUUGAGGUGGACACCAACUGGCUGAAUUGAGAGUUCACCAGAGGGACGACCAUCGCCAGUAGUGGACGUGUUACGUUAUAUUCCUUGUUAGAAAGGACACGUGCUCCUGUCUAGGCCCGAUGUGGCAUUUUCUAUGAACCUGUCUUGUACUUUAAGUACUUUAGUUAGGUCUUCUACUGCCAGGAACUACCUUCUCUAGUUAUGAUGUAAGACCUUUUUACUAGGUCAUUUCCCGAACCUAUACUUCAUGAAUAUCUAAGAUAUUGACAGUCGGCUAACUUCUGUGUCGUUCUUUAUUCGAAUACUCUUAUCAUACUUUCUUUAGAGUCUAAUUGAAACAUGCCCUAGUCAAAGUCAUUGGACUAUAGCAAUUUAACUCCGGAGAGAUCUCCAAGUCUCUUUCAAUGAUUGGAUCAUGUCAUUCACCAACCACCGAUACCUCAGCAAGAACGACAAACAUCUCGAAACCAUUUUAAGGAACUUACUCCCGAUCUUUACCAGGACUGCAUCAUAGGGAUGUAGGUCGAACUUUCCUGAACAUACUUCCAUUCCAUUUUAGGACUGCAUCAUGGGGAUGUAGGUCAAACUUUAGAGAACAUACUUCUAUUCUUUUCAUGAGCAAUCGAACUAUGUUAAGAUUCAACCAUUUUCGCUCACAAAUUCAUUUUUCUUUCGGUGUAACAGAAUCAUGAAUCCCAAGAAGAACGAUCAGCCCAUUAACCAAACACCAACUCUUCAGAUUGAUGCAGCUACCUUUCAAGCUGCAGUCUCGACUGCCGUGUCAGCUAUUCUGACCCACCUAAACGCUAACGACGCAGGAGUUAGCGGGAAUGUUAACAAUCAUUCCAAUGCAAGUAUCAAGCGAAAGUCUUGGACUAACUCUAAGGACAAGUCACUUCGAAAGGCGAACAAGAAACAACCACCAGUAACAACCUUCACAGCUACGACAUCAGUACCUCCAACUACCAUCCCUUCGGGAAUCCCAAUGGUCCCUAAACCAGCCAAACUUUAUGCUAGAAAACUCCCAAAAUGCAUCAAAUGCAAUUAUCACCACCACGGACCUUGUAGGGAGAUGCAGUGCUCACAAUGCAAAAGGAACGGACAUACUGCUAGUCACUGCAGCAUCCAGAACCAACACAUUUCUUCAACCACCAAUGUCCAAACCGCUCAGAUAUGCUAUCUAUGUGGCGUCAUGGGUCACUUCAAAAGGAACUGCCCAUCGGAGAAGGACAACGGCAAAUCCGGAUGAGUUUGACCUCAGAAUGCGAAAAGGCAGUUAAGGAACCUAAUAUAGUAUAGGUUCCCUCCAAAUCGUCAGUAUCUUGUAUGUACAAAAACAUGUUUAAAACUAGUGCAACCAGAGUCUAAUCUUUUGCGAGAUUCCGUCCGUUAAAGGACUCUCGUGCUGCGUAUACUUGUCUUUUGUAGUAUACCUUGUUUAGCAGCAAUAGUCUUGUAAUAAUUCCUAAGUACAGUAACCCUGUUAAUGGUUGCACUGUUAUGUUUUGUCUGUAUCGCCCCAUGUUUAAAUCUAAUGUCUUUAGUUCCAUAUGUUUCCGACUUUAUCAUACGACUAGAGUAAAUUAAUCUUCGAAAUACCAGCUUCAUAAGUACAUCUCUUUCUCAGAAAUCACCUUUUAGAAAAGCCGUUAUAUCAGAACACCGAAGUACCCAUACAAGGAGUACCUUAUAGUUCUUUUCCCUUCCGAAGGAAUCCUCACGUUAUUGCCCAUGCAGUACGUCAAGUUCAAUUCCAGGAUUCAUACGGUUGAUCCAUCACUGAAGAAUGUAUACAUGAGAGUGAUAUAUAAUCAAUGUUCUACAGGUUUAGAAUUGAUGAUUCCACUUUAACUUCUUUUCCCUCAAUGGGAUGUGAGAUUAAGGAAGAACCAGUUAUUCGACUACCUUUUCAGUCUUAAUUAUGUACGACUCGUAUACCCGAACUUAUGAUCAUUGAAUCACGCAUGAAUUCUAAUAUGAACUUCAGGACGGAGACUGUUCAGGAGUACGAGUAAUUGCAUUGGCAUUGGAACAAACUUAGAAUCAGUAUGACACUUGGAACCAGACCGCCUUCAGUCUAAACACCUACGAAAGACACAAGAACAACUCGGACAACGCAACGAACUAAUCAACCAUAGAAUUAGAAGACCAGGCUUCUCACCCUUGAGAGCUCCGGUCUUAUUCUUACCACAAGUCGACGGAGUGCGUCAUAUGUACCUCGACGACCAGAGACUUCGUUUAGAUUUCCUUUAGAAAUCGUUAUCUCUGCCUCGCUUAGGAGAACCGAUUGAGCAACCACAGGGAAAGAAUUACUUCAAAAAUGGACCUGAGAUCCGAAUAUCACCAGUUCGAGUGUUAGGGAAGGAUGUCCUAAGGACUACCCUCCAAACUCGAUGCGGACACUUCGAGUCCGUAGUGAUACCCUCGGAUAGGACCAAUACGCCCAUAGUAUUCAUUAGCUGAAUAAGUAGAGUACGCCUUUCUUACUGGGAUCAGUUCGUCAUUUCUCCAUAUAAUGACUACUUAUCCACCCUCAUAGUAAUAAAGAACCCAUAGAAACAUUACCCUCGGAGAUAAUUUCCGCAAAGUUCUUUGAACAAGAGUUUUGGAAUUUAGAGUCAAAAUUUCCUGAGACACACUUUUAGUGUUGUGGGAAUUCUUGAGUACUCUGUCAAAUUAUCCAAAACUAUUGGGAAUUUGUCAGCACCGUAGUCGCUGACAGAAAAUUCACCAAAUUCCAGGUCUUACAGCCCUACUAUCAUAGUCCAUUCGGAACUCCCCGUAAACUUCAGAAUCCCUUUCGACUUUAACUCGGCAAGGAAUGGCCCUUGACUGGGAAGUAAGCGAGAGGAAGAACAUUUGAAAUUCCAAGUGAGAGACCGAAUUCUUUGGGAAACCUCACUCUGGGAACGGAUUAAUACGCUUCGUAAAGCGUGGAAAGCAAAGAUCCAAUAUAGUUAGAACCUCCGAGAUUCUUACCAGAAUCGGUCCUGCGUUUCACAAACUAGACCUACUCCGCGAACUCAGUAACAUACAUUUUCCCCUUCGCGUCUCGAACUUGAAACAGUAUCCUUUAAUUUGGACUUCCGUAAUCCCUCUCGACAAGAUCGAGGUUUACGAGAUCCUUGCCUUCGUAUUAGUACCAUAGUGACCCUCGACCGAGUGGUCAAGCGGACGAAGCAACGCCGUCGCCCGAUAGUGAAGGUUCGUUGGGAUUCCAACCGAGAACUCGAUUUCACUUAAGUGUACUAGAACAAAUCAAUUAGGAAGUUUCCUCCUCACGACUCCAUCAUUCGUGCAUACUUCCUUGACUAAAUUCUAAUUUCGGGACGAAAUUCCUUCUAACGGGGGGAUGAUGUGACAACCCGAAAUUUCCAUUUGUACGAACAAUAUCUAUUCAAUAGAAGUCAGUCCAAUUUCAGUGAUUUUCAGACUUUUCCGAACGAGUUAGUGUACAUUAGGGUUUACACUUUAUGAGAUAUCAGGAGAGUGGAUGCUCCUGCGUUUGUGAAAUUUGAACAUUUAAAGUUUCAUAAUGUUACAAUCCAAGUUCGAGAAUAAAAAUAUUUUCUGUCAAAAUAUUUCAGGACUAUAAAUAGUUUUCUGAAUUAAAUUAAUUCAUUAUUCACAAUUCCAGCUAGAGAAAAGCCAUUUUCUCUCUGUCAGAUCUUCGGGUUUUCAUCCCAGAUUGUGAGUAACUCUUUCUAGUAGUGUUAGAAUACAUAUUAGAUGCUUAAAACAUGAUUUACAUGGCUAAAUCAUUAGAUCUAGGAGUUUACUCCCCAAGGUGUUCUUGGGCGGUCAACUCCCGAAACAAAGCCAAAACUGACAUUGGUGCUAUGAAAAGGCCUUAGAACAUUAGGUAUACAUGUUAGGGACAUGAAAACACACACAAAACCACCCAAGAUUGGGAGUUUACGGCCCAGAACUCUCUUAGGCCGUAAACUCCAUUUCCUAGCCCUAAAUGGUGAUUUGAGGACUUAAGGACUUUAAGGCUUGCAUCUAGGUUAUUUUCCCAAGUAGCUUAAGGUCUUAAACACAUCAAAUGACACAAAUGAAAGUGAGUUUACGGCCCAGAACUCUCCUAGGCCGUAAACUCCAUGUAAAUGAUCACAAAGGGUGUUUUCAUGACACCUAAGGCCCUAGACCUUUACAAGAAAUUGUACCCACUAAAUGGAAGGACCAAACCACACCAAAAUCACUUAGCCAAGUGUGUUUAUGGCCAAGACAUGGUUCUUGGGUCGUAAACUCCUAAAAAAGGGCACUAAGUGGUGCCUAAUGCCUUCAUAUGCUAGGAUUAAAAGUCUAGAACACAUCCCACUAGUACAAGAGGCUUGAAAUCAACAAAGGAAACACCCCAAGGGAGUUUACGGUCGUAAACUCCAAAGGGAAAUGUCCUUGAGGCCGUAAACUCCUAUUUGGAGUAUUUCUAGACCUUAAACCCUUCCAAGAACAUAGCCACUAGGUUAGAAUAAUUCUAGAAAGCAUUCUGAACUUCAAAACACACCAAACACACAUGUUUGGGAGUUUACGGCCGUAAACUCAAGAGUUUACAACCGUAAAAUCCAUGUGUGAUGGAUUAUGGAGAGUAAACUCUCUUGUAGGGUCCUUUGGAAACCCUAAACUCAAGUACCCUGUCCCACAAAAGCUUAGAUGAAGUCCUUACGGCUUAAAACACUUAUAUAAAGUGUUAUCUAUGUCUAGGAUGUAUUAAACAUUAUCAAUUAAUCUUCUGAGUCUAAUUGAGUGCCUAUAUGUGUGAUUAUAUGUUCAUUAGGAUCGUAGUGUGUGCACAAGUCCUUGCUUGACACCUAGCCAUCCUAUACCGUUCAGAUCAUUCCAAUCACCAACUACAGGUGAGUUCAUACCCCUUAAUCAAUGUUUUAAAGGAUUUUAAAUGCUUUAAUGGGGAGGGGAUACAAGUAGAAAACAAUAUGUUAUUAAAUCAAUUUUUAUGUAUUUUGUAACUGUGUUUUUUAUGGGUUUUAGCCAUAAGAACUUUCCUAUGUGCGCAUGCAAAACCCUAUUGCUUGGAUCUAGGCUUUCUAAUAAACAUGCUUUGAAUCCAAGUCUUCUAAUGACUAAUUAGGUUAAAUAACAACAUUGAAAUAGAUCUAGAAUCAUACCUUUGAGUUCCUUGUUGAUCUUGAGGUCUUGGAGCUUUUAGAGUCACAAAUGUCACUCCUCUAAUGGCUUACAAACACCAAUAGCAAGAAGAAUGAUUUAGGAGAGAGGAGAGGGGAGGAAUUCGGCCAGGGUUCUCUUACUUUAGGAGAUGUAUCGAAUUCCCUAUGCCAUGGGGUCUAUUAAUACUUGUAGACUCCUUAAGGGUUACAGCCUAAACCCUAACUGGACAAUCUUCUCUUAAGGCUAUCCAAAUCCAUUCCUUAGAUAUCCAUANNNNNNNNNNNNNNNNNNNNNNNNNNNNNNNNNNNNNNNNNNNNNNNNNNNNNNNNNNNNNNNNNNNNNNNNNNNNNNNNNNNNNNNNNNNNNNNNNNNNAACCUAAACCCUAACUGGAUAAUCUUCUCUUAAGGCUAUCCAAAUUCCUUCCUUAGAUAUCCAUAUGGACGAUUUUAGCUAUCCUAAGACCCUUAGAAUUCGUCCAAAGCAUAUCCCAAUGGAUUUACAGUCUAAAGCUUAACUAUCAAACAAUUGACAGUUUAUACCCCUUUAUUCAAUUAAUCUCUUUAAGUCACCAAAUUAAUUCUAAUUAAUUCUAUGACUUAUAUUAAUCAAAUAACAANCGUUCAGUUCAUUCCAAUCACCAACUACAGGUGAGUUCAUACCCCUUAAUCAAUGUUUUAAAGGAUUUUAAAUGCUUUAAUGGGGGGGGGAAUACAAGUAGAAAACAAUAUGUUAUUAAAUCAAUUUUAUGUAUUUUAUAACUGUGUUUUCACUCAGUAGAUUUCACAUAUUUCAAAAGGUGUCACAUGAAAUGGUUUUCUAUCUUAAAAUACUUGGAUAACAGAAGUAUUAGUUUUGAAAUGUAUAAUGACUUCAAGUCACUUUAAAUUAUUGUUCAAAACUCCUAGAUAUCUUGCAAAACCAGUAUUUUUACCUUUUUGAAUUAAACUAUACUUAUGCGCAUAUGUUCAUUUAUAUGUUAGAGAUUAUAGUUUUCAUCCUUCGUUUAGUUUCUCGCACCCUGGCGUAUCGAGGGUGCAUAAACCUACUUGAAUAACCACAUACUUUCCAGUUAGCUAUCAUAGGGAUAGUCAGAAGAAAUCACACGAGAGUCAGUUCAUUCAUGAGUCUAUACUAAUAACUUACAUGAUACAUGAGUACACGUACUUAGGAUUUCAUGAUACAUGAAUAUGUUUACAAAUACUUACCUGUUGCAUGAACACACUUACAUGAAUACCGUACAGGAACACUUCUUCAUCGGUGCAUUAUCCUGUAUUUACUUACCUUGGAUACCUGUAAUUAGAUCUAAGAGGAUGAUUUAUUAGUACUUACUGUGCAAAUUGUCUUUCCUAUCCCCGUUCAAUGGGAUGUUUCGGCGGGACUUACCAUUCCGAAUCUCACUGAUUAGCACCAGUGGUCGAUGAAGUCUACGGAUGUCUAAGGUAGUCACUUGAUUAGUAGUCAGUGACGGGACUAACUAUCCCUCUGUCCACUGUUGCAACAGUGGAUGAGAUGUGAAUCUUCGGAGGAUCAUUAAGUUGACGAUCUACAUUAAGAGAUCGAUACAGGGACUAACCCUCCUUCCACCCUGCUGCUGCUACAGAGGAUGAGGGGACACUCUUCGGAUGUUCCUUAGGGUCUAUCUUUUGCUUCAGCGAUGUCGUGUUUGUCCUGGUAACCCAAGACAAUAACACUUACCUGAUUAUAUUUUCCGGUUUACUUUAUUUCGUGAUACUUUCACAUAAACGAUGAGUUAGACUAAGUGCUCUAGUACUAGUCAAUAGAAAGGAAAAGCUAUCAUAUUACUUUCAGGACAUAUGAGUCUUGGUAGAAGACUACUUAGCCAUAACAGAACAUACGAGUCUUGGUAGAACACUACUUAACCAUAACAGGACAUUCGUGUCUUGGUAGAAGAUUACUUAGCCAUAACAGAACAUUAGGGUCUUGGUAGAAGACUAUCAUAUCCUCUUCCUAGUUUACUUUAUUUUGUGAUAUAUUCACAUAAACGAUGAGUUAGACUAAGUACUCUUAGUACUAGUCAAUAGAAAGGAAAACCUGUCAUUUUACUUGGUCAUAACAAUAUAUCGGGUCUUGGUAGAAGAUCGCAUUUCAUACUUAUAUCAAUUGUUCUAUUUGAGGAUUUUUACGACAUUCUUAACAACAUUCCAAAACAGGACAAUAUCACAUAAAUACUUAUGAAUUCACCAGCUUUAAAGCUGAUACUCGCUUUCAAAAUUACUUGUAUCCUCAGGUCAUCAUAGACAGGUACCGAUGCAAGGAGAAAAGAAGAUGGAGCUUGUUCAAGACUUAUCUUUCAUUUUGAUUUAUGCUUUAGUGUUUAUCAAAAUUUGACAGAAUACAAUUGUAUAAUAAUUAUUUUAUUAAUGCAAUGGAUGAUGUUGUUGCUUGUUUACUACUUUACAUUGUUAUUGAUAUUAUACAUGACGUCCUCCGCCCCUGAACGUUUCCGCCGUUCGUGGUUUUGGGGUGUGACAACAUCUGAAGCAAGUUUCAACGCUCUGAAGUUCCCGAGAAAAUCAUAUUUCAAGUCGAAAAUAUGCCCGAGU
rnacentral:lncRNA from 1 species